AAAGAAACCAACAGGGAUUGCCCCCAGUAACGGCGAGUGAAGCGGCAACAGCUCAAAUUUGAAAUCUGGUCCCCUUUGGGGGCCCGAGUUGUAAUUUGAAGAGGAUGCUUUUGGCGAGGCGCCGUCCGAGUUCCCUGGAACGGGACGCCGCAGAGGGUGAGAGCCCCGUACGGUCGGACGCCGAGCCUCUGUAAAGCUCCUUCGACGAGUCGAGUAGUUUGGGAAUGCUGCUCAAAAUGGGAGGUAAACCCCUUCUAAAGCUAAAUACCGGCCAGAGACCGAUAGCGCACAAGUAGAGUGAUCGAAAGAUGAAAAGCACUUUGAAAAGAGAGUUAAAAAGCACGUGAAAUUGUUGAAAGGGAAGCGCUUGCGACCAGACUUGCGCCCGUCGGAUCAACCGUCGCUUGCGGCGGCGCACUCCGGCGGGCUCAGGCCAGCAUCAGUUCGCUCGGGGGGAGAAAGGCGGCGGGAAUGUGGCUCCUCGGAGUGUUAUAGCCCGCCGUGUAAUACCCUCGGGUGGACUGAGGACCGCGCGUAUGCAAGGAUGCUGGCGUAAUGGUCGUCAGCGA
rnacentral:rRNA from 1 species